GUGCUUAUAAUAUCUAGAAGUAAUUAAAAAUAGUGUUCUAAGCACUUUGUAUUGGGAUUAAGCUUUUACAUUGAAAUCCAAAAUAGUUUAUAUUUAGAUAGUUGAAAUCCACUAGAUUACUUGGAUACUUACGAAACAUCAUUUUAUCUUCUACAACUAGACGCCAUGUGUGUUCUCUAGCUAAAUAGCAUGUAAUACGACAUCGCCACAUAGCCCCUAAUUAGAUAGUAUAUAUGGAGACAAGAAUGAAGCCUUCUUCACUCUUGUCAAAUCCUUUCUUGCUUCCAGUCUAGUUUCAAGGGUCUCUAGUUUUCUUAGCUUUUGGCAAUAGCCAUUCUAGUUUCUUUCUU
rnacentral:lncRNA from 1 species